UGGCGGCGUGCUUAACACAUGCAAGUCGAACGAUGAAAGCCUUCGGGGUGGAUUAGUGGCGAACGGGUGAGUAACACGUGCAAUCUGCCCUUCACUCUGGGACAAGCCCUGGAAACGGGGUCUAAUACCGGAUAACACUCUGUCCCGCAUGGGMMGGGGUUGAAAGCUCCGGCGGUGAAGGAUGAGCCCGCGGCCUAUCAGCUUGUUGGUGGGGUGAUGGCCUACCAAGGCGACGACGGGUAGCCGGCCUGAGAGGGCGACCGGCCACACUGGGACUGAGACACGGCCCAGACUCCUACGGGAGGCAGCAGUGGGGAAUAUUGCACAAUGGGCGAAAGCCUGAUGCAGCGACGCCGCGUGAGGGAUGACGGCCUUCGGGUUGUAAACCUCUUUCAGCAGGGAAGAAGCGAGAGUGACGGUACCUGCAGAAGAAGCGCCGGCUAACUACGUGCCAGCAGCCGCGGUAAUACGUAGGGCGCAAGCGUUGUCCGGAAUUAUUGGGCGUAAAGAGCUCGUAGGCGGCUUGUUGCGUCGGUUGUGAAAGCCCGGGGCUUAACCCCGKGYCUGCAGUCGAUACGGGCAGGCUAGAGUGUGGUAGGGGAGAUCGGAAUUCCUGGUGUAGCGGUGAAAUGCGCAGAUAUCAGGAGGAACACCGGUGGCGAAGGCGGAUCUCUGGGCCAUUACUGACGCUGAGGAGCGAAAGCGUGGGGAGCGAACAGGAUUAGAUACCCUGGUAGUCCACGCCGUAAACGUUGGGAACUAGGUGUUGGCGACAUUCCACGUCGUCGGUGCCGCCAUGAACGCAUUAAGUUUCCGCCUGGGGAGU
rnacentral:rRNA from 1 species